AAGGUAGAUUGAACAAUAGCUUGAUUUUUCAAGAGGAAAGUCCGUGCUACAGUGAAGCAGAGUUCCAUCUAACGGAUGGCUAGAGUAAUCUAAGGGAUAGUGCAACAGAAAGUAAACAGCCAAGUUUUUGGUGAUGGUGAAACGGUAGAGUAAGAGCCUACCAGCAAACUGAGUAAUCUUUUUGGCUUUGUAAACCCAACUUGUAGCAAGAAGACAUGGUAUAAGCUUCACACUUCUCGUCUUCGCAAGAGUAUUAAAGUGAUUUAAUACCUAGAUAAAUUAUUGUUAAAUACAGAACACGGCUUAUAAUCUACCUUUUUU
rnacentral:RNase_P_RNA from 1 species